rnacentral:rRNA from 1 species
UACGUAGGGUGCGAGCGUUUAAUCGGAAUUACUGGGCGUAAAGCGUGCGCAGGCGGUGAUGUAAGACAGAUGUGAAAUCCCCGGGCUCAACCUGGGACCUGCAUUGUGACUGCAUCGCUAGAGUACGGCAGAGGGGGAUGGAAUUCCGCGUGUAGCAGUGAAAUGCGUAGAUAUGCGGAGGAACACGAUGGCGGAAGGCAAUCCCCUGGGCCUGUACUGACGCUCAUGCACGAAAGCGUGGGGAGCAAACAGG